AAAUCAAAUCAUGUAAUCUUUUAAUAGUCGAACAGACUAAAUUAUUUUAGCUUCUUCACCAAAAAUAAAAAUUAAUUCAACAUCGAGGUCACAAACUUCAAUUAUUAAUAAGAACUUGUUAAUUAAAUAAUGCUGUUAUCCCUAGAGUAACUUAAUUUUAUUAAAUUUUAAUUUUAAAAAUUAAUAUCUUCAAAUGUUACCCCAACUAAAAAUUUAUUAAAUAAAUUUUAAGCUUCUAGGGUCUUCUCGUCCCAAAAAUUUAUAAAAGCAUUUUUACUUUUAAUUUAAAUUCAAAAUAAUUAAAUAAAACUUUCUUUUUAGUUUUAAACCCUUCAUUCCAGUCAUCAAUUAAAAGA
rnacentral:rRNA from 1 species